rnacentral:rRNA from 1 species
CUGCUUUGAUGAAGUUUUCGGAUGGAUUUAAAACAGCUUAGUGGCGGACGGGUGAGUAACGCGUGGGUAACCUGCCUCACACUGGGGGAUAACAGUUAGAAAUAGCUGCUAAUACCGCAUAAGCGCACGGUUCCGCAUGGAACAGUGUGAAAAACUCCGGUGGUAUGAGAUGGACCCGCGUCUGAUUAGGUAGUUGGUGGGGUAACGGCCUACCAAGCCGACGAUCAGUAGCCGACCUGAGAGGGUGACCGGCCACAUUGGAACUGAGACACGGUCCAAACUCC